GUAAGGGCACCCGACUGCUCUUCCGAAGGUCCAGAGUUCAAAUCCCAGCAACCACAUGGUGGCUCACAACCAUCCGUAACAAGAUCUGACUCCCUCUUCUGGUGUGUCUGAAGACAGCUACAGUGUUCUUACAUAUAAUAAUAAAUAAAUCUUUAAAAAAAAAAAAAAAAAAAGAAUGGGGCUAUGAGGAACAGCAGCAACACUCAGGAAGAGCUGGAGAGCAUCCUGAGGCGUCGCCAACAAAGCUAAAGGGAGGGGAUUGCUCUUUACGAAGCUGGAGGAAAACGUAAUUCUUUGUUUUUUGUCUUUUCUCUCUCCUCUCUCCUACCUUGCUGCUUGAGGGCUUGGUAAGUACCACUUUAAGGCUGACUUUAAUUCUGUGUAGAUCCUAGUUUAUAAUGCAGCCUUAUAUCUAUGAGUGGUUUAGUGCCUCUGCUCCUUUUUUUGUUUUGUUUUGGUUUUUGGUUGUUUAGUUGGUUGUUUUUGUUUUUUUUUUUUCAGUGGUGGUUGUUAAGAUAGAGUCUGUAUAUGUAGCCCAGGCUAGCCUGGAACUCACUGAGGAGUACAUGUGUACAUAUCACAUCUGGCUUGCUUUUUGUUUUGUUUUGUUUUUGUACUCAAAAUGAUGAUGGCCCAGUAUCUAAGAAUAUGUUGGCAAGACUUGAUCCCCGUAAAGGACACUUAGUAACAUAAAGACAGAAGCUAUGUGGUAGCUGUCAGGGAGAAAGGGGUUGUUCUCAGAAAUUUUCCCCACUCACACACCCACACACCACACUGUUCACGUCCCAUCCCUGUGACUUGGCUUCUGUAUUUCUGUGCCUUAGGCACUUACAUUUCCUUGUUUCCUGUUUUACAGAAAUACCUAUAACCUUUCCAAGUAGCUUUGAAAUUUUAUAAAACUGGCUGAUUUCUAUAUAUGUAAGCCUUUCUCUAUAACUCAGCUCCCCGCUUUGCCUGUUGAGACAGAGGCUCUUGUAGCUCCCCCCCAGACCAGCUAUCUAGCUCAUGCUGGACAUGAACCUCUGAUCUUCACAAGGCACCACCCCUGGCUCGUUCCCCCAGACAGCCGUGCAAAAAUUGGUUUGCACAGAUUAGUAAGGAGUUAUGCUUUGUCGACUGACCACACAAGGUAACACCUUUAACUCCUGGAGGCCAUCUUACUAAGUUUUCUCUCUCCUGACUAGACCUUUAUAAACAACAAGCCUAUUUAUUAGCAAAGGCUUCAUCGUGUUUGUAUCAUGUUCCAAAUGAAAACACAGAUGCAAUCAGUUGCCCUGGGUGAAGCACAUUGUUACUGCUAAACCUGCCUUGUCUGUUGUUUCAUUGAAGCCUUAUGUAUUUCCCUGGUCACUAUUAGCCUGAGAGUCUUUAAGUGCCUUUGGUUUCUCUUUUCUGUAAAAUAGACCUAAAUAUAUUUCUCAUCACAGAGCGAACAGGAAAAACGGGAGCGCCUGGAAACCCAGAGGGAGAAGCAGAAAGAACUGAUUCUGCAGCUGAAGACCCAGCUUGAUGACCUGGAGACGUUUGCCUAUCAGGAGGGUAGUUAUGACUCCCUGCCGCAGUCCGUGGUCUUGGAAAGACAGCGGGUGAGCAGACCUCAGAGGCGACUCCGGCAUUUCUCACGCUUACUGGGUCCCUGCUGGUGGUGUUCCUGCAUAGCCUCUACCCAGUGCACUUCUCCCAUGGCCUUACAGAGAACCCAGGGUCCAAAGCAAAGGGAAAAAUGGCUACUUCCUGGAACCAGUCUCUCUUUCUUACUUCCUUACUUCCAAAGUUCCUGCAUCAUUUGUUCUCAUCGGUAAUAAAUAAAUAAAUAAAUAAAUAACAUGAGAAAUUAAGACAUAGUGAGUGCCAGGUAGUGAUGGUGCAUGCCUUUAAUCCCAGCACUUGGGAUGCACAGACAGGCAGAUCUUUGAGUUCAAGGCCAGCCUGGUCUACAGAGUGAGUUCCAGAACAGCCAGGACUACAUGGAGAAAACCUGUCUAGGG
rnacentral:lncRNA from 1 species